GAGACAGGUGCGGAGGAGGUCGGCGCUGGUGCAGAAACGCGAGGAGGUCGUGGUCUCGUUGAACUUGCAGGCAAUCCAAGUGGCUGCAAGGGCAACGAGCUGGAGCGACUCACGCGGCACACGGACAAGAGUGAGGUACUUGUCCAUCAGCUGGACGGCGUGGAACAGCGUUAUCUGUGAGAAGCCAAAGU
rnacentral:ribozyme from 14 species